rnacentral:rRNA from 1 species
AUUGAACGCUGGCGGAAUGCUUUACACAUGCAAGUCGAACGGCAGCACGGACUUCGGUCUGGUGGCGAGUGGCGAACGGGUGAGUAAUGUAUCGGAACGUGCCCAGUCGUGGGGGAUAACGUAGUGAAAAUUACGCUAAUACCGCAUACGAGCUAUGUAUGAAAGCGGGGGAUCGCAAGACCUCGCGCGAUUGGAGCGGCCGAUAUCAGAUUAGGUAGUUGGUGGGGUAAAGGCCCACCAAGCCAACGAUCUGUAGCUGGUCUGAGAGGACGACCAGCCACACUGGAACUGAGACACGGUCCAGACUCCUACGGGAGGCAGCAGUGGGGAAUUUUGGACAAUGGGCGAAAGCCUGAUCCAGCCAUUCCGCGUGCAGGAUGAAGGCCCUCGGGUUGUAAACUGCUUUUGUACAGAACGAAAAGGUUUCUACUAAUACUAGGAGCUCAUGACGGUACUGUAAGAAUAAGCACCGGCUAACUACAUGCCAGCCGCCGCCGUAA